UAUGUGCUCACAAUGGCUGUUUCAUGAAGGGACCCCUCCAAGGAGGAUCUUGCCAAGGCCAGCUCAGCAUCCCCUGGCUAGUAGGCACUCACAAGAUGCCCAACACCAUGUUCCUCUUCCCAAGGCAGCCUGGCUUUGUGGGUGGCUCAUCCCGUGCAGAUCUGGCCACUGUUUUUCCCGUUCCCUUAGGGGUCCCAGCCUGGUCCUCUGAGCUUCCAGACCUGAUUCAGUUGCUCCAGGUGCUGAGAGACAGUGUUUUUUGCUCGGAUUUAUAGUGACAUGCCUACGAAGUCCUGCCAACUGAGACUCUGCCACUGAGAAGAACAGGAAUAUUAUGACAUGCUUCCUCACCCUUCACUGAGGGACUGAACCAGGAGAAGAGGUCCUCUCCACAGACAGGUAAAGACCAAGGUCAACCCCUGGAGGAGUUGUAAAAAAAACGUGUAAAAAAAAAACAAAAACAAAACAAAUAACAAAAAACAAAAAAACCUGAAUUGUCCUAUAAAGAC